ensembl:lncRNA
GUAUUUGAACCCUUUCCAGCAGUGACUGUAUGGUUUUGAGAUCCAUCUUUUCACACUGAGGACAACAUACACAACUAUUACAGAAGGUUCACACGCUCACUUACGCUCCAGAAGAUAAAACCAUGCAUUAAGAGCCGGGUGUGAAAACUUUUGAACAGAAUGGAGAUGUGUACAUUCUUCUUAUUUUGAUUAAAUAUCAUAUAAUGUUUUCAAUUAUUACUGCCCUUCAGAGGUUACAGAAGAUACUUACAUGUUUCCCAGAAGACAACAUAAGUUAAAUUUACCCUGAUCUUCAAAUUCAACAAGUUUUCACCCACGGCUCUUAAUGCAGCAUUUUUCCUAACAACUAUCACUAAAACACACACACACACACACACACACACACAGAGCUGUGGAUCAUUCGGGUAAUAACACUGUAUUAAGAAUCAAGGGGGUGUAAACUUUUGAACCUGAUCAUUUUUAUAAAUUCAACUAUUAUUUUCUCUUGUGAACAGAUAAAAUACAAAAAGAUUAGAGAAGCUAGUGUUAUUUUUUUCUUUAAAAAGAAAAGAAUAGAAUAGAAUUAGAAUAGAGAGUGCUAGAGUUAGAGGGUCAACUAAAGAUGGAAAAGAUGUGUUUUGAGCUGAUUCUUAAAGAUGGUUAAGGACUCAGCUGGAAAUAAUUAAUUAAUUAUUCACUUAAAUACCAUUACACAGUCCGGACCCUUUAAAAAAGCUACAUGUAUAUUAAGGAUUAAAAGUGAAUACACAUUUAUAUUUCUAAAACUGUGUGAAUGCGUCGCGUUUUCUCGUACGUCACAUCCGGCGAAGGGGUCGCUUAUCUCCCACAGUGCCUCGCUGUCUCUCUCUCUUCCGGUUGUCGUGCGCUUCGUGUGGCAGCAGACAGCGAUCAGAAAUGGCCAAGUCGAAGAACCACACCACACACAACCAGUGUAAGUGUCCGCGGACCCCCCGCUGAGAGUGUGUGUGUGUGUAUGUCGAGCUGAUCUCUGUCUCUCUUUAUCUCUCUCUCUGUGUGUGUGU